CCCUUAGAUGUUCUGGGCCGCACCCGCGCUACACUGAAGGAGGCAGCGUGUACUCCUGGAUCGAAAGAUUUGGGUAACCCGCGAAUCUCCUUCGUGCUAGGGAUUGAGGUUUGCAAUUAUCCUUCAUGAACGAGGAAUUCCCAGUAAGUGCAAGUCAUAAGCUUGCGCUGACUACGUCCCUGCCCUUUGUGCACACCGCCCGUCGCUACUACCGAUUGAAUGAUUUAGUGAGGACUUCGGACUGGGACCGAUGCGGCUUUCGGGCUGCGUCGGUAUUCUGGAAAGAUGUCCAAACUGUAUCAUUUAGAGGAAGUAAAAGUCGUAACA
rnacentral:rRNA from 1 species